rnacentral:rRNA from 1 species
AGAGUUUGAUCCUGGCUCAGAAUUAACGCUGGCGGCGUGCCUAACACAUGCAAGUCGAACGAGAAAAUCUCCUUCGGGGGAUGAGUAAAGUGGCGAACGGGUGAGUAACGCGUGGGUAACCUGCCCUUGGAAGGGGGAUAACACGAGGAAACUGGUGCUAAUACCGCAUAAGCCUGAGGCAAGAGAUUGCAAUAGGGAAAGUCCUUCGGGAUGUCCAAGGAGGGGCCCGCGUCCGAUUAGCUAGUUGGUGGAGUAAAGGUUUACCAAGGCGACAAUCGGUAGCCGGUCUGAGAGGACGGACGGUCACACUGGGACUGAGUCACGGCCCAGACUCCUACGGGAGGCAGCAGUGGGGAAUUUUGCGCAAUGGGGGAAACCCUGACGCAGCAACGCCGCGUGAAGGAAGAAGGCUUUCGAGUUGUAAACUUCUGUUUCGGGGGACGAUAAUGACGGUACCCCGGCAGCAAGCCCCGGCUAACUCCGUGCCAGCAGCCGCGGUAAUACGGGGGGGGCAAGCGUUGUUCGGAAUUACUGGGCGUAAAGGGCGCGUAGGCGGUCCGAGAAGUUUCGGGUGAAAGCCCCGGGCUCAACCCGGGAAGGUCCCGGAAAACCAUCGGACUUGAGUGCUGGAGAGGCAAGCGGAAUUUCUGGUGUAGCGGUGAAAUGCGUAGAUAUCAGAAGGAACAUCAGAGGCGAAGGCGGCUUGCUGGACAGCAACUGACGCUGAGGCGCGAAAGCCAGGGGAGCAAACGGGAUUAGAUACCCCGGUAGUCCUGGCCGUAAACGAUGGGUACUUGGUGUUG